GCUGGUGCCUGUGCCAAAUCUGGGAAGAGAGAAUGCUGGCAGCUUUGACCACGCUCGUGCAGACUGUAAGAGCAUCAACAGAAAUAAGGACUUCGGCAUCCAUGACUAUCCCUCUCUGGGUGAUGAGAGACACCCUGGCAAGCGGGACAACAGCUUCAUUGGGAAUCAUGGUGGAUCAGACAGCUUUCAGAACAAUGGAGG